UACAGGGGGUGCAAGCGUUAAUCGGAUUUACUGGGCGUAAAGCGUGCGUAGGCGGUUCGUUAUGUCUGCUGUGAAAGCCCCGGGCUUAACCUGGGAAUGGCAGUGGAAACUGGCGGGCUUGAGUGUGGCAGAGGGGGGUGGAAUUCCGCGUGUAGCAGUGAAAUGCGUAGAGAUGCGGAGGAACACCGAUGGCGAAGGCAGCCCCCUGGGCUGACACUGACGCUGAGGCACGAAAGCGUGGGGAGCAAACAGG
rnacentral:rRNA from 1 species